UUACGGUCAAAUCGCGCUGAAAACACCGGUUCUCGUUCGAUCACCGAAGUUAAGCAUCGUAGAGCCAGGUCAGUACUUAGAUGGGGACCGCUUGGGAACACCUGGUACUGUAAG